GGGGGUGUAACUCAAGGGUAGAGUGUGUGCUUGGCGUGCACAAGGUCCUGGGUUCAAUUCCCAGUGCCUCCC
rnacentral:tRNA from 1 species